GAGCGGAAGAGGCGGUGCCCAGAGGGUCAUCCUCCGCAGCCAUUGGAGGAAGGCCGGGAGCUAGGCGGGGAGGUCGCGGGUCUCGUUAGGGGCUCUUGAGUUGGUCACCUACCUUUCUGGGACGGGCCUCAGGGAGCUGAGUGGGCAGCGGUUUGUGCGAGCCACAGCUAGGCGGGGAGCCCGGGCAUCUUUGCGUCGUACCUGUGAGCCACGUUACUGCUUAUCUUGCAAAAGUUACAAGUCUGUCUUAAGCCCGCACACCGCUUGGGUGAGCCCGUCCAUUCGUCUUGACUUGACUUGACUUGAAUUAUAAGUGACUACAAGUCUUUAUUUCCAGCCCAGAAAUCUCUCCUGAGCUAUUGAGUCGCUAUCCGGGCGCUCCUUUGGUUAUCGAUUUGGGUUUUACUCAUUCAGCAGACAUUUGCUGCACGUCCUCCGUGUACCAGGCAUCUUGGUCAGUGCUACAGGUGCAGUGGUGAACGGGAUGAGAAGGGUUCCUGCUUUUAGGGCACUCACAGUGUAGUGGUGGAAGCUAACUGUAAUCAGAGAAACAGGUCAAUCAUACUAAUAAAUAGAAAAUCUCUAACUGAAAGAAGUGACCUGAAGUUAUAGGAACUUCAAAAAGAAAACCAAUUGGACUGGACACAGCUAAGCAAUAAAGCUGAGUAACGUAGGUGGAUAUGAGGGUGGAGAGAAACCUCUGAAACAUUCCAAUGAGGAGGACAGAAGAUGCAAAGGCCCUGAGUUGGAGACCAUGCUGGGACACCAAGAGAGGAAAGUGGAAUUUGGGGAGCAGAGGGGCUGGUAAGAGAUGAUGCUAGGAAGGGGGCAGGGGCCAAAUCACACCUUGAGAGCCAGGGGCAUCACCCCUACAGGGCAGGAGAGACUGGCGCAGUGAGACACGCCCCCGGGGCCAACAUCACACAGCUCAUCAACGCUGGAACUGGGAUUUGAAUCCAGGUCUGUUGGCCAGCGCUGCAGAACCAACCGGCCGGGAGCCAGACGGGUGGGUAAGGACAUCAUCCUGGCCCCUCCAGCCCCAGCUGAGUCACAAGCGAUGGCAGCUCUUCCACUCCAGGGGGGGCCAGCAGAAGAACUGCUCAGCUGAACUUGACCCCAAAUAGCUGACCCACCACUGAGAGCAAAAACAUGACUGUUUUAUGCCCUAAA